rnacentral:rRNA from 1 species
AGUGAACGCUGGCGGUAGGCCUAACACAUGCAAGUCGAACGGCAGCACAGUAAGAGCUUGCUCUUACGGGUGGCGAGUGGCGGACGGGUGAGGAAUACAUCGGAAUCUACUUUUUCGUGGGGGACAACGUAGGGAAACUUACGCUAAUACCGCAUACGACCUACGGGUGAAAGCAUGGUAUCUUCGGACCUUGCGCGAUUGAAUGAGCCGAUGUCGGAUUAGCUAGUUGGCGGGGUAAAGGCCCACCAAGGCGACGAUCCGUAGCUGGUCUGAGAGGAUGAUCAGCCACACUGGAACUGAGACACGGUCCAGACUCCUACGGGAGGCAGCAGUGGGGAAUAUUGGACAAUGGGCGCAAGCCUGAUCCAGCCAUACCGCGUGGGUGAAGAAGGCCUUCGGGUUGUAAAGCCCUUUUGUUGGGAAAGAAAAGCAGCAGGUUAAUACCCCGCUGUUCUGACGGUACCCAAAGAAUAAGCACCGGCUAACUUCGUG